CAGAGGUCACUGCUAUCAGYGUUCGRCUARGCCAUGCGAGUCAAAUGUUCUUCGUGAACAUGGCGUACUGCUCAGUAACACGUGGACAACCUGCCCUAAGGUCUGGCAUAACUCCGGGAAACUGGGGAUAAUUCCAGAUAAACCAUGGAUACUGGAAUGUACUGUGGUUAAAAGCUCCGGUGCCUUAGGAUGGAUCUGCGGCCUAUCAGGUAGUAGUGGGUGUAAUGUACCUACUAGCCUACGACGGGUACGGGUUGUGAGAGCAAGAGCCCGGAGAUGGAUUCUGAGACAUGAAUCCAGGCCCUACGGGGCGCAGCAGGCGCGAAAACUUUACAAUGCGGGAAACCGCGAUAAGGGGACACUGAGUGCCAGCACCAUGUGCUGGCUGUCCGCAUGUAUAAAUCACAUGUGUCAGCAAGGGCCGGGCAAGACCGGUGCCAGCCGCCGCGGUAACACCGGCGGCCCGAGUGGUGGCCAUUAUUAUUGGGUCUAAAGGGUCCGUAGCCGGUUUGAUCAGUCUUCCGGGAAAUCUGACAGCUCAACUGUUAGGCUUCUGGGGGAUACUGUCAGACUUGGAACCGGGAGAGGUAAGAGGUACUACAGGGGUAGGAGUGAAAUCUUGUAAUCCUUGUGGGACCACCAGUGGCGAAGGCGUCUUACCAGAACGGGUUCGACGGUGAGGGACGAAAGCUGGGGGCACGAACCGGAUUAGAUACCCGGGUAGUCCCAGCCGUAAACGAUGCUCGCUAGGUGUCUGGGAUGGUGCGACCGUUUCAGGUGCCGCAGGGAAGCCGUGAAGCGAGCCACCUGGGAAGUACGGCCGCAAGGCUGAAACUUAAAGGAAUUGGCGGGGGAGCACCUACAWSGGGUGGAGCCUGCGGUUUAUUG
rnacentral:rRNA from 1 species